rnacentral:rRNA from 1 species
AACGAACGCUGGCGGCAUGCCUAACACAUGCAAGUCGAACGAGACCUUCGGGGCUUGUGGCGUACGGGUGCGUAACGCGUGGGAACCUGCCCUUAGGUUCGGAAUAACUCCCCGAAAGGGGUGCUAAGACCGGGUAAUCUCUUCGGACCUAAGACUUCUCGCCUUUGGAUGGGCCCGCGUUGGAUUAGCUAGUUGGUAGGGUAAAAGCCUACCAAGGCGACGAUCCAUAGCUGGUCUGAGAGGAUGAUCAGCCACACUGGGACUGAGACACGGCCCAGACUCCUACGGGAGGCAGCAGUGGGGAAUAUUGGACAAUGGGCGAAAGCCUGAUCCAGCAAUGCCGCGUGAGUGAUGAAGGCCUUAGGGUUGUAAAGCUCUUUUACCCGGGAUGAUAAUGACAGUACCGGGAAAAUAAGCUCCGGCUAACUCCGUG